AGCUCCGUAGUUCAAUGCAUAGAACAAUGCUGUACGAAGGCAUAGGUUACAGGUUGGAAUCCUGUCGGAGCUACAA
rnacentral:tRNA from 1 species